CCAACGAUUUGCUCAUUCUGACGCUCAGUUUACGAAACUAGCAGCGCUGUUUGCCGGACGGAAUGUUCGUAAUACCGGAUUGAUGUCGCAAUCAAGGAAAUUUGUCCCCGAACGGUUUCGUCGUUCAAUUGAGAACGCUUGGAAAUGCUGCACCCUUUUAGCUGUGACAUCCCAGAAUAUCCAUGAACUAUUUGGAUUUGCUAAGCAACUUAUCGAGGAGCAUAAAGGAAGAUUUUCAUCCGAGAAUGUUAUCGACUAUAUUGACGCUUUUAUGAAGGAAGCUGAAGAGCAGCAGCGAAAAGGAACGGUUACCACAUUCACCGAUAAGCAACUCGUGACCUCAGUGCUUAAUCUUUUUGCCGCCGGAACCGAAAGCACUUCGAUGACGAUUGUCUGGGCCUUUC